AGGAAGCAGAAGGCCACAGCCUCCAAGACUCCCAGAGAUAACGGAGGGAUGAUGGAGGAAAAAGAGCGUCUGUAGUGUGUGUUUGAGUAUUUCAUGGUUAUAGUGCUGUGAGUGAGCUGAUAACUGGUGGGAGUCAACAAGCUGGACAAAUGGGACAAAUUGUUAUCAGGAGUACAGGAAAGGAAAAAGUUGACCGAGGUUCCGACCGAGGCUUGUUCAACUGCUAUUGGAACGCAGAGCCGAAAGGGACGGGACUUAGGAAGGGUCAAGGACAACAGAGUGAAUAAAUGUCUCAUCAUCCUGUCCAGCUGCGGAUUUGACUUGAAACCAGAACAAACUUGAUGACCAGCUGCCAUUUUGAUAUUUGGUGAAAUAAAACCAACGGACUAGAAGAGUUCAGAGAUUCAGCAGCAGCAGCAGCAGGAGUUACUAAACCUGGUCCCAGCUCAAUAUUUCCAUGAUUACUCAACCAAUAAGAUAAGAUUUUAGAUUAAUGAAGCUCCUGUGUUACAGACUCGGGUCUGGGUUUAGAAAACACUGGAAAAAAAAGAUUGUGAUUCACUUGAUUCACUCUUGAAUAUCAAACUCUCUUACUGUUCUCUCUCACCUUCAGCUGAAGACAUUUAGAGCUAUUGAUCCAUUAGAUUCUGAGAUAUCUCCAGUGCCUGAUAUAUCUUAGUCCUCUGUGCCAUAGAGAGAGAUAGAGACUACAAACACCAUGAACACACACACUGAAGUUUCCCACAUACACUGUCCUGCUGCCAGAAAAUGCAUCAAAUGUGUAUUAAUCCAUCGCUGAAAGUAGUCCCCAACGAAGGCACGGUUUCCUCCAGUUUUAGAAACAUUUGGUAAAAACUACAGUGACCACCUUUUUAGGAAAUAACUGAGCUGUUUUAAAAUAAAAUUAAAUAACGAUGUGAACUGUUUUCUAAGAUUUACGUCUUCGUUAAGAAUUAGAUUAGAUUAGAUUAGAUUUACUUUAUUAAUCCCCGAAGGGAAAUUGGGUCGUCAUAGCAGCCAGGUACAUUUAAAUACAAUAAAAUACAACAAUAGAAUAAAGUACUGAGGUAGAAAAGAUAAAAAGAAAAGAUAAAGAUAAAAAGAUAAUAGGAACCGGUGGGCUGGUGUGAGCCACAGCUGAGGGAAGUAAAAAAGUAUGUUCUAAAACUGACAUUUAUGUCAUUUUUAACAAUAAGUAAAAUAUAGC